rnacentral:lncRNA from 1 species
UCCUCAGAUAAAGGUUUGUUUUCUUUCAAUUUUCAUUCAUCUGAAAAUUUGGAAUUAUUUUCCCUCAAGUCUCUCUCUUUCGUGAGAGACUUCUUUACAAAACUACAGCUGAUCACUGUCUUCUCCCCUUUGCCUAAUCUAGUGCCUAGCAGAGAGCAGGGGCUCAAAAAUAUUUGUUAGAAAUAUAAAGGAAAGCAAAGGAUACAUGAGAUGACUUCAUAUAGAGGCUUGCCACUCCCUCUGUGGAUACAUGGGGCUGAUCAUGUCCAUGUGAUUUCCAGGGGAAUAAUAAUUUUACAUUGAAAUUGAUUACUUUCCUUUUUAAAGAAAAACUGAAGAAAAAAAAGAGAUGCAAUUGAGAAUGUGGUAUUAGAAACCUGUCACUGUUUUGGCCACGCAGUAACCACAUGUCCUUGGAUACUGAUUAAGUCUUCUGAGAGGAUGGGGAAUGAGCAGAGAAAUCUGUGUGCUUUGUCUUGAGCGUCAUAUACUGGUGGUUUAAUACGUGGCUUAUUGUGUGAAAAAAACACACCCCGGUUUGUAGUGUUUGCCAGUUUCCAUGGUGUGAAUUCUGUCAUCAGAGACACAAUGUGACGUCUAUGAAUGUGAACUUGGGAGGAUAUGAUGACAGUUGGCUCUCGUGACCCAGCAGGAGCCAAGUUCAGCACAUCCCAGGUUAUGAGCAGGCAAGUUAACGGAAGAGGCUUCAGAAUGUCAGGAGCCUAGCUGCAAUGGCCAGUGUCAUGUGAAUUCAUCUAGGGGAACAAGAAAUCUCUCUUCAUGAAGAGGCAACAGCACAUGACCUCUUUAGGUGAGUGUCAGAACUAUAUGUAGUUACUUCCAUAGUUCCUUUGGCCAAAGCAUGUCUCCUCACUAAGCCCGAAAUUAAAGGCUAACCAUGAAGUUACAUAGCAAAAAACAUGGUACAGGGUGGGGUAAAACAUUGAGACUCCAAGUCUGAUCUGCCAUAGUCAUGUGAGGAGCCAAGGAGUUCAUACACACUUUUGUGCAGUUCCAUAGUCUGCAUUUCUUCCCCUGCUCAGAUGCUUCAUGUACAGUCAAAGACAGUUCUACUGUCCAUGUGACUCCUAAUCUCCAGGCUGGAUAUUAUAUUUCUAUCCUUUAAAAAUCUGAUAUUUUGCUUUUAAAAAUUUUGUUAUUUAUCUCAUUGAAUGAUUGUCAUUUUUGUGGUACUGGACUGCAAUCA